rnacentral:rRNA from 1 species
ACACGACUACAUUAGAUACCCGGGUAGUCCUAGCCGUAAACGAUACUCGCUAGGUGUCGGCCACGGUGCGACCGUUGUCGGUGCCGUAGGGAAGCCGUGAAGCGAGCCACCUGGGAAGUACGGCCGCAAGGCUGAACUUAAGGAUUGGCGGGGAGCACAACAACGGGUGGAGCUUGCGGUUUAAUUGGAUUCAACGCCGGAAAUCUUACCGGGACCGACAGCAACAUGAAGGCCAAGCUGAAGACUUUGCCGGAUUAGCUG